rnacentral:rRNA from 1 species
CCUACGGGAGGCAGCAGUAGGGAAUAUUGGACAAUGGGCGCAAGCCUGAUCCAGCCAUGCCGCGUGUGUGAAGGAGGCCUUAGGGUUGUAAAGCACUUUCAGUGGGGAGAAAGGUCAUUCACCUAAUACGUGAGUGAAUUGAUGUUACCCACAGAAGAAGCACCGGCUAACUCCGUGCCAGCAGCCGCGGUAAU